CCCGCUGAACUUAAGCAUAUCAGUAAGCGGAGGAAAAAGAAACUAACAAGGAUUCCCCCAGUAACUGCGAGUGAAGUGGGAAGCAAGCCCGUACCCGAAUCCUGAUAGAAGAGAUUCUUUCAGGAGGUGUAGGGUGAUGUGAGACAAGUGUUUAAAUGCAUUGGAAAAUGCUACCAAGGAGGGUGAUAGUCCCGUGAAACACUUGUUAUAUCAUUUCAUGACGAGUCGAGCUGUUUGGGAUUGCAGCUCUAAUUGGGUGGUAAAUCUCAUCCAAGGCUAAAUAUCAACAAGAGACCGAUAGCAAACAAGUACCGUGAGGGAAAGAUGAAAAGCACCUUGAAAAGGGAAUUAAAAGCACGUGAAAUUGUUAAAAGGGAACCGUAACCGAGAGACUAGAACCCUUUGCGUUGUGUGUUGGGAGUAGGUGUGUUAGUCACAUUUGUGAUGCACAUUUAUAUUUCAACGCACGGCACAAGUGUGAUGCACUCUCUUUGUUAUGACCCGUCUUGAAACACGG
rnacentral:rRNA from 1 species